rnacentral:rRNA from 1 species
GACGGGUUCGGACGAAGUCGUUACCCUAACUGUUCGCAGAGGGGGAUGCCGAAGGUAGGACUGGUGACUGGGGUGAAGUCGUAACAAGGUAGCCGUACCGGAAGGUGUGGCUGGAUCACCUC